AGCUUUGUGCAGUGGCAAUAUCGUAGCCAAUGAGGUUUAUCUGAGGCGCGAUUAUUGCUAAUUGAAAAACUGCUUUGACUUCUAGUUACAGCACUCAGGCUAGAGGUAGCUUGACACUUGGUGAAAAUAAAAACGAAUG